CUCAUGCUUGUGGGUGGAACCUUUACAAUUAUUCAAGGGAAUUUCUACACAAGACUACCAUUUGGCCUUUGGAAAUAUGAAGACUUAUGCUUCGGGUGUGAGACUCUCUCACCAUCUUCUUGCCUCCCACACUUCCACUCUGGGACUUCGUCUAUCAUAUGCAGCCAGCCAGUGACCUUCUAACCAGCUGCAUCUGGAGCUGAAGGACAUUGUGGUGGUGUGUUGCAUAGUGACCAAGGAGCAAGUUUCCUAGCAAUUUUGGUGUAGCAAGAAAACCUUUUAAAGGGCAUGUCGUUCAGUCAUAGUUUCAUGGCAGCAAAUUUCUCUUAUUAAGAAACAAAACAGAAGCAGAAAAAUAAAUAAAUAAAAAAAGAACAAAAACAUUUAUUUUUCCCAGUAAACUUAGUCAACUGUGACCGAGUACUUUUCUUUCCAACCUUCCUCCCUGGUUUCUGGUCAUCAGAGGAUACAGGAAAUUUAGACAUAUUUAAGAGUGUAAUACAUCCCACUGUACAAUGGUGACUUAAUUUUCCCAAACGCAGGGGCAGAGCCAGGUCUAAAACACAACUCCUACCUACCACCAGAAAUGCUGGAAAAAUACUGCUUGUCUUAGUGAAAACAGAUUAUUAUAUAUUAUGGAUAUGAGGCUGGCAUUUGAGCUUGAAAAUCAUGCAGACUGCCAAACUGGAGGGAGAGCUGUCAUCUAGCACAGGCAUAGAAACACUAAAAAUGAGCAACAAUAGUCUCCUUCUUAUGGUAAUCUGAAUUACCUUGAGCAACACUGGAAGACUAUAUAAAUAUUUCUGUUUGCAAUAUACUUCAUACAAGUUAGCAGUCUGAGGAGGAUUUGGAGCCUGGCCAUCAGUUGAGAAACUCUGUGCCAGAAGUGGAGCAAAAGCAACAUUAAAGUCUCUUAACCAGCCAAGCGAUGGUUUCUCAGCAUCCUUAUCAUGCACCUCGCGAUUGCUGGCAGGGAGACAACCAUCUUACUGGGUGCUAUUAACAGCUCAAGGUAGCGCAAUUACAAGCACCUAACUGUAUGAGGAGUUUAAUCAGUUACUAGCUUGCUCCAGAUCUGCGCUUGUGCAAAGAGCAAAUCAACAUCUAUUCAUAAGGAGCUGCAGGAGGCACAGACAAGGGUUUAGCUCCAGUACAAAAAAGCUCCAACAAAAGUCUCUCCAGCAGCUACAGAAAAGUGAAGGAGUAAAAGAAGACUAGGAAAGCAUAUUAAUAUAUCAGAUCCCUCAUCCAGAAUGUGAGAUUUACUUCAUUGCCCUGUGGUUCAUAGAGCAGCCCAUACUUCAUCAGUUUGUCUUUUGAGGAGAUUAUGGGAGACAGUGGCAAAAGCCUUUCUACAAUCAAGAUAAACCAUGCUUGCUGCUCCCCUCAUCCACCAAGCCAUUUCAUUGUUGAAGGCUAUCAGGUUAGAGUUUAGAUCAUCUUUUCAAUCAAGCUUAUCAUUUAUUUAGCACAUUCUUCUGUAAGGUAAAUAUAAUAUACAUUACAUAACAUCAAAUAUUUACAUAUAUUGUUGCUACUUCCAGAGGGUUGAUUUCAAAGUUCUCAUUAUUGUACUGCUACUAGUGAAAAUUGCUGACAAGACAGAAAAAUAGCAUGACUACGAUACUGUAACUAUUUGAUAGAUAUCAGACGUGAAACAACAGUAUCUGGAAAGUAUUUUCUAAUAAUACAGCAACUUCUAACAUUCAUAUUAACUCAGGAUAUUAUGUGAGGGCACUGAAAGUUGUUAAUUGCAUUGUUUACACCCUUAAUUGUAGAGGCAGAGUUCACACUGACACCUGCUGUUAAGACUGCCUAACUUUUCUCAUUUUAAGACCAUUUUCAGUCUCAUUGCUGAUUUAACUCUGGGGACUGACCUUUUCUGAGAUCAGUGUCAUCUUGAGAUUUAUUUCAAAGGAAAAAAAAAAAAAAAAAAAAAAAGAAAGAAUCAGUGUUUCAGAUAAAAUGUUUUUGUGAUUUUCAAGAAUGAUGUAGGGGGUUAACAGCUCGCUUACUUUGUAUGGGCUCUCUUUCAAUUACUUCAUUAAAAAGAAAAUCACUUAUCUACAUCCCUUGAAACAAGACCUCAAGAGCUGGCAGAAUUACACUUGUUGAAGUUCCUGAGAAAGGCAUCCACAGCUGGCCAAGCUAUGAGCACUGGAAAAAUCAGGCGAUACACACUGACGUAAGUGGAAGGGUAUUACAGUUUUGUAGCUAUCAUCUGUGAAGAUUCCACUUGCAUUUUCCUUUGACAAAUCGCCAGGA